GACGAACGCUGGCGGCGUGCCUAAUACAUGCAAGUGGGACGCAAGGGAACACACUGUGCUUGCACACCGUGUUUUCUUGAGUCGCGAACGGGUGAGUAACGCGUAGGUAACCUGCCUAUUAGCGGGGGAUAACUAUUGGAAACGAUAGCUAAUACCGCAUAAUAUUAAUUAUUGCAUGAUAAUUGAUUGAAAGAUGCAAGCGCAUCACUAGUAGAUGGACCUGCGUUGUAUUAGCUAGUUGGUAAGGUAAGAGCUUACCAAGGCGACGAUACAUAGCCGACCUGAGAGGGUGAUCGGCCACACUUGGACUGAGACACGGCCCAGACUCCUACGGGAGGCAGCAGUAGGGAAUCUUCGGCAAUGGACGAAAGUCUGACCGAGCAACGCCGCGUGAGUGAAGAAGGUUUUCGGAUCGUAAAGCUCUGUUGUAAGUCAAGAACGUGUGUGAGAGUGGAAAGUUCACACAGUG
rnacentral:rRNA from 1 species